GUGAAAGUAAAACCUUUAGAGAAGGUGGUCUGAUUUCACGUUAGGAUAUGGGGGGACAGUUGCCUCUUGUUCAGCAAUGAUUCCUGACAUUUUUAUAUACUAUUUAAAUGUCUGAUUGUGUUUGUUUUUUUACAGGGAGUUACAUAGAUGAACUUUCUGGAUCUCUGUAUCAGUAAGUAAUUUUAUUCUUUGUUAAAUAAUAUGAAAAGAUCAGAUAAACAGUGUUUCGGGACAUAUGUUUAAAAAUUUCAUAAAAACCUGGUGUGACAGGUUUGUACACGUUAAAAUCUACAUGGAAGGGUUUAUCAUUUUAGACUUGUUCAUUAAUGAAAAGAUAGUGUUAUUCUACAUCAGGCUUCCCCAAACUCUGGCCCCCCAGAUGCUGCUGAACUACAACUCCCAUGAUUCUAUGAAUGAGAUAGGUAGGCUGAGAAUCAUGGGAGUUGUAGUUCAGCAACAUCUGGGGGGCCGGAGUUUGUGGAAGCCUGUUCUACAUGAUUACAGUUAUUUACAUGAAACCACUUGUUGGUGUCACGAAUGGGACUGCACCAAAAAUUGCCUCUUUAUUUCCCCAUCUAGAGCUGGAUUCUGUGGCAUGAGAUAAACUUAGUUCCCGUGUCAAUUCUUCACAACAUACAGUUUAAAGAAUACAUUUAUUUGAGUUUGAUUGUUGUUAUGUACAGUAUUCCCUUUUUCAGGCAUAACAUUUAUUUUACCUCUCAAUCUGUUUUGAUUUGAGGAGAAAUUGCGGAAGCCGUGAGAGGCAGCCACAGACCACAAGAACUUAUUUCUCAAUAGUCCUGAAUUUAGUGGGUUCAGUACUGAUUUGGGACAUCUGUCCCGCCAUCGUCGUUUUCUUCUCUGGUGUCCCACCUCUGGGGACAUCAGCGGAUUGUCCUCAAUAAGGACACAUACAGUGAAAACAAUUGCCUGAUUAAAACCAGGAAUUUAUUAUUAAAGUGCUUUACAGGUUGCUACUGUCAAAGUUAUACAGACAGGGCUGGAUGGUAAGCAUUGGGAGUGUACUCCUUUAGUGGGCAAUAUUGUAGCAGUAGCAAUUAUAAGAGGAGAGAAAAAAAGCGUAGGUGGUUUAUUCUUCACCAAGGAAGUAAAAUUGCAAAUCCUCUGGAUAAAUUCUUCAGGGAUAAAAACAGGAAGGUCCAAAUCGAAUAAAAAUCAAAUAAUAAUACUGAUAUAUAGCAUAAAAUACUGAUAGAACACUAACGCAUUUCACCAGAAUCUUGGCUUUUUCAAAGUGGGCACUACUCAUAGCCAGAAAGAAAAGACUCUGGUUUGGGAAUUUGAAGUGGCUAUACUGGAAUUAGACAAGCGCUACACCGUUUGUAUUAUUUAAAACAUGUUGACAUUUCCUGUUUUCCUAUUCGUAGGACUGUCGCCAAGUUAUUCGAAGAAAAUCAGAACUAAUAGCUGCCGCACCAACUUGAAACAGAGUUUUAUAUGGGUAUUGUUUAAACUGGUGUUUCUCACAUUUCAAGACAGAAGUCACCCAUCAAAUGAUCACGGAGCAGAUGGACCUACAACUUCCCCAUCUUCCUUGACAGCCAUGCCAAGUAUUUUUGGGGGACAUGCAGGUGAUAGCAGAUGCUGGCAUUCGUGAUGGUCAUAGCUAACUGAACUCAUGCCUACUAUCUAACCCACCUGUUAUACAGGACAUUUCUGAA